AAAAACAUUUCCUCUUGGUAUAAGAGGUAAGGCCUGCUCACUGACUAGGUUGAAGAGCCGCAGUAUAUUGACUGUGCUAAGGUAGCAUAAUCAUUAGUCCUUUAAUUGGGGACUGGUAUGAAUGGCUAAACGAGAAAUUAGCUUUCUUUGUUAUGGUUUGUUGAAUUUAACUUGUAAGUGAAAAGGCUUACAUGAUUCAGAAAGACGAGAAGACCCUAUAGAGUUUUACAAAGGCCUAAAAUACAGCUUAUUGGUUUUAAAGGGUUAUAUUUUGGAAAUUUGUUUGGUUGGGGCGACAUAAAGAUAAAAAAAACUCUUUGUAGUAUAAACUUUGGUGGAAGAAAAGGUUUGAUCCUCUAAAAGGGAUUAUAAGAAAAAAUUACCUUAGGGAUAACAGCGUAAUCUUCUUUUAGAGUUCAAAUCGACAAGAAGGUUUGCGACCUCGAUGUUGGACUAAAAUUUGGGCAAGGUGCAGCAGCUUUGUUUUUGGGUCUGUUCGACCCGUAAUAUUUUACAUGAUCUGAGUU
rnacentral:rRNA from 1 species